CAGGAGACUUACUCGACCUCUUGAAGAGAUCUUGAGGGAUCUUAACAAGAGAGUCCCCGACAGCCUCAUCAAGAACAAUUCCAUCUUGUGAGUUUCAGAACAUCUAGGAAGAGUGGAUUUCACAAAGCUGGUUUUAGAACGAGAGAUCUAAACAAGACCAAAGCGAGGCGAUUUCACUGAAGCCUGAGGACCGAUGACGAAACUUUGGUGGGAUUUCUGGACUUAUUGUCAUUUUUCUCCAGAUAUUAAUCAGAACGAGAGAUCGUGAGCAGUUUAGUUUGCAGAACGAGAGGUUGAAGAAAGCCAAAAAUGGAGCGGCCUGCUUCUUUGGAUGAAUACGAGAAGCUCGUCAUCCGCAUGAAUACUCCUCGGUAAUUUCAUAGCCAUUGUAAAUAAUUUAUGUAAAAGUUUGUAAACAAUUUAUGUAUCUCUCUAUUAUUUUGGUAAAUAUAUUAUUUGAAUAUAA